UCAGUCCUUAGUUACAAGGCUCCAUCCUCACUUUGUUCGCUCCUCAGUCGUCCAGGCGGAUUCCUUUUUCGCCAGGCACCAAGGCACAGCUUAGAGUAGACCCGAGUCCUGCUCUGCGGAGUUCGUCUUCCCAGCGAAGGUACAGAGGCGGAUGAACUGCUGAGACUUGGGUCUCACUCUGUCGCCCGGUACAGUGGCGUGAUCUUGGCUCACUGCAACCUCCACCUCCCAGGUUCAAGUGAUUC
rnacentral:lncRNA from 1 species